GCUAGAGCCACGGCCUCUCAUGGAACUCAUGGGAGAGAACGAUUGGUCUGAGAAGCCAACUGGACACCAGGACAGGGGUGAAAGGUUUAGCGACAGGGAGUUCACAAGAGAGGCCGGAGCUGAGGAUUGGGAGCAUCAGUGUAGUUCUUGACGCUGCGGCUAUACUUGUGAUCACUUGGGCAGUGUAGAUAGAGAGAGACACUGAAAAAGAUCAAGGACACAUUCUUCUAAGGAGCUAGGGGAAGCUACAAAGUCUUGGCAAGAGACUCAGGAGUAACUGAGGGAAGAGGGAAGGACUGGGAGAAUAUGAAGCCAGAAAACAACCAGAAGUAGGAAGCAGAAGACACAGGGAGGCAGAGACAGCACAGGGCAGCCAAGCUGAGCUCUUGCUGACUCUCAGCAGCAAUGCUAUUUUGGGGAGUGCAUCGGUAGGGGGUGUGCCGGAGACAGAAGCUAGUGCCUUCCUCUAAGCAAGGACUAUACCACCGAACGUCACAGUGAGCCACACCGACCCCCCUUCAAUGGUUUUCUGAGACAAUCUUGUCUCCACACUCCUUACACACCGAGACGGCUGCCACCAUCUCCAUGUGGCCAGCUCUACCCGUGAUGAAGAUUAAAACAGACAUCUUCUGCUCUUCUGCCAACGGGUAGCAAACCAGCACAGAAGCCCACAGCACAGGGCAGUCUGCAAACAUUCUGCCCUAGCACACGGUUCUAACUCCUCAGCCCUGAGACAGACAGAGGAGCAGCUCCUGAGAAGCCAGCACAGAGGAGCGUGCAGCAGAAGGUCCUGGUGGUGUGGUGAGGACCCAGCGGCUGCAGGUCUCUGUGUAGGAAAUGGUGCACCAGCAGGAGCGGGUGCAAGGCUUGCAGAGUUUGUUGAUUUCUGCCUAGGUAGAAGUCAGAAAAACAAGGCCAUAGAAGCCUAGAGGGCAACAGAAGCCACUGGAAGCCAGAGCCUGUCGACGGAAAGCGAUAACACACCAUGGGAUGUGCUGGCAGAACACAUCUGCACUCCUGGCAUUUAGAAGCAGGGCGCGGAAGUCCAUGAGUUCAUGGCUGGCUUGGCUGACACGUUGAGACCCUGUCUCAAAUAAAAAGUUAUAUAGACUAACUACUUGAAGGUUU
rnacentral:lncRNA from 1 species